UAAAUCUGUUCGAUGGAUUGUUGGAGAUAACUGAUGGCAAUUUAAAUAUAUACAAGUAAGAAGAAUCAUGUCUGUCUCAGACCCACCUCCACGGUUGCAUGAAAUUUAAUCUUCUCUUCAUGGAUUCUCUUCAACAACUACCUUGAGCUUCUGGGCUGCUGAUCUCUGAAUUCGUAAAACCCACCAGGAUUUUGGUUCGUUCUUGUAUAACUGAUUUGGGCUUUUGUUUGUUGUUGAUUUUUAGUUGAUGGUUUCUGAAGGGAAGAGAAGAUUAUCUUUUGCGUUUUCAGUUUUUGUUAUGUUUAUCUAUCUGAUUGAUGGUUUGGAGGUGGGAGUUUGAUUGCUCAUGUUAUGCAGUUGGGAAAGUUUUUAUGAUGCUUGAUUUGGAUUGCUUUUGGAGCGUAUGCAGUUUCAGUGAGGUGGGGGUAUGCUUAAGUUUUCUUCGUGGGGCACUCUGGUAAGCAAGUAAAAGUUUUGAGGAAUACUGUUUCAACUUUGACAUCUUGCAGGAUAAAAGUUUGGGGCUUCCGACCACCUACUUCUUUAAAAGCUUUCUUGGUUCUCUGAUUUCGUGCUUCUUGAAUCUGGUGUUUGAUCGAUCAAUGGGUGAUUGUGGUUGGAAUUUCCCUUGUCGGAGUUUUGUGUUCUAGAAAAUAACUUCGGAAAGACUCUCGGAAGCAUUACAUGGAUCUAUAUGACUUGACCCGACUGUGAAUUUGUGAAGAUGGGUAGCAAUUCUAAGGCCAUCGUCUGGUUUAGGAGGGAUCUCAGGAUUGAGGACAAUCCUGCAUUAGCUUCGGCUGCUAGGGAAGGGAGUGUGCUUCCUGUCUAUAUCUGGUGCCCCAAGGAAGAAGGGCAAUUUUACCCCGGUCGAGUUUCAAGGUGGUGGCUGAAGCAGUCUCUUGCCCACCUCGAUCAGUCCUUGAGAUCUCUUGGGGCCCCACUCGUGUUGAUCAAAGCUGAGAACACUCUUGCUGCUCUUUUGCGGUGCAUCGAGGCCGUAGGAGCAACAAAAGUAGUUUAUAACCAUCUUUAUGAUCCUGUUUCACUUGCCCGUGAUCAUAGCAUCAAAGAGAAGCUGACGAACUUUGGAAUUUCUGUUCAAAGCUUUAAUGGGGAUUUGUUGUAUGAACCAUGGGAGGUAAAUGAUGACAAGGGGCACCCUUUUACAACCUUCAAUGCGUUCUGGAGCAGGUGCUUACUUGAGCCAACUGAACCUGCUUUGCUUCUUCCUCCAUGGAAGUUAGUGUCACCUGCAGGAUUUGUUCAAAGCAGUUCAGUUGAGGAGUUGGGUCUUGAAGAUGAAUCUGAAAAAUCUAGCAAUGCUUUAUUGGCAAGAGCAUGGUCCCCAGGCUGGAGCAAUGCAGAUAAAGCUCUAAUUGAAUUUGUUGAUCACCAUCUGCUAGACUACUCAAAAAGUAGAGCAAAGGUGGAGGGAACUUCCACGUCACUUUUGUCACCAUAUCUACAUUUUGGAGAAGUUAGUGUGAGAAAAGUUUACCAGUGUAUAUGGAUGAAGCAAAUACUGUGGGCGAAAGAAGGAAACUCUAUUGGGGAAGAGAGUGUGAACCAUUUUCUCAGGGCUAUUGGGCUCAGAGAAUAUUCACGUCACAUCUGUUUCAACUUUCCAUUUACGCAUGAGAAGUCAUUGCUUGGAAAUUUGAGAUAUUUUCCUUGGCGUCUUGAUCAGGGUGAAUUUAAGGCUUGGAGACAGGGUCGGACUGGUUAUCCAUUGGUGGAUGCUGGAAUGAGAGAGCUUUGGGCAACUGGAUGGAUACAUAAUAGGAUCAGAGUGACUGUUGCUAGUUUCUUUGUUAAGUUCCUGCUACUUCCAUGGACAUGGGGGAUGAAGUAUUUCUGGGACACACUGUUGGAUGCUGACCUGGAAAGUGAUAUCCUUGGUUGGCAGUAUAUCUCAGGAAGCUUACCGGAUGGCCAUGAGCUUGACCGUAUGGACAGUCCAGAGGUUCAAGGCUUCAAAUUUGAUCCAAAUGGUGAAUAUGUGAGGCAUUGGCUUCCUGAGCUGGCAAGAAUGCCAACUGAGUGGAUACAUCAUCCUUGGGAUGCUCCUGCGACAGUGCUUGGAGCUGCAGGGGUGGAGCUGGGAUUAAACUAUCCAAAGCCUAUAAUCCUAAUAGAUUUAGCAAGACAGCGCUUGAUGGAUGCUCUAUCUUUUAUGUGGGAAGCUGAAGCAGUUGCAAAGGAUAAAAAUUCAAAUGGGGCAAUGGAAGUUGUCGUUGACAACUCUGUUUCUAGUGAAAGUUUGGCAAUUCCAAGGGUUGUAGUAAGAGAAAAAACUCCAUAUAGUACCACUUCUUCUCAUGAUCAGAAGGUGCCUUCAUUUAAAGUAUCCAUUAAAGAUUCUACUGAUCGGAAGAGAUCGAAGUACUGGGAAGAUGAUAGGCCAGUUCAGGAACAUCUACCAUAUCACAACCACAGAUACGAAACCUCAAGGAGAGAUGAAGAUGAUGUAUGCUCUACUGCUGAAUCUUCUUCGGCUAAGAAAAGGAGCACCAGCGGGAUUCAGUUCUCUGUUCCACAUUCAUGUUCCUCUUCAUCACAAAGAGAUCCUUUGCAUUGGUAUGAACCACCUGAUCUGAAACAGCAGCAAGAAAAUUUUGACAUGGAGCAGUGUUCAAGCAAAGAUGGAGGCACAGGAGGUUGUUGACUAAACUAGUCUUAUAUGCACAAGAACCUGUAUUGAUCCUUGAGAAAAGAAUUAGUGGCUAAAUUUUCUAUCUUUGGGAAUAAAGUUAGGUGGAUCAAGCAGAGUGCAUUUUUGCAGCUGAAGAUGAAGGUGUGCUAUUAGUAUCUUCAAGAUUUAUGAAGAAAAAGGAGGCCCGAUGGCUGAGAAGAUUGAAUAUAGGUGGGGGUAGUUUUGCCAAAGAUAUUGCUGAUAUGUGCUCUAUGUGCUCUAGAAUUCCCAAGAGAAAAGUUUAUUGUUCACUGCAUGGCUUCUUUCUCUUUUUUGUCCCUAGAGAAACAACAUUUAUCAUGUGCUGUCAGUUGUUGAUUAACAGUUUAAACUCAUUUUAUGGUGAGAAAUGGCAUCAUGUUGUAGCAGUCAACUUUAUAGCAAUUUA